rnacentral:other from 1 species
AUCAACCUGAGGUGUUGGCCAGUUGACUGUAUCCUCGAGCCGAUAAUCCCUUUUUAGGAGGCCUCUUGUUGUAUUGGUGUGCAUGUCCGCAUGACGGAAAGCCUAAUAUAUGACAGAUCCCUCCCCCUUGAACUUUACGGUUCAAGGUUAGGUCGACAGCGGCAUCUCGGGCAAUUA